rnacentral:rRNA from 1 species
ACGGAGUUAGCCGGUGCUUCUUCUGCUGGUACCGUCAUUAUCUUCCCAGCUGAAAGUGCUUUACAACCCGCAGGCCUUCUUCACACACGCGGCAUUGCUGGAUCAGGCUUUCGCCCAUUGUCCAAUAUUCCCC